AUAAACUCUUUCCUCCCCAAGCUGUUAUUGGUCACAGCAAUGGAGAACAAACUAGAACAGACCACAAGGAAGUCAAGGUCCUUAGAAGAAAUGGACUUGAACAUCUGGAGAUCCCAAUAUGCAACUGGACUUGACUUAUUUUUAUUCUAUUUUAUGUUAUUUUAGGUUUGUUGUUUUUUGAGCCAGGGUCUUGGCUAUGUAAUCUAGGCUGACUUCUACAUGCCCUAGACUUGUCACAAAAUUUCAGUUCUCUAUUUUGGUCCUCUUGCUUCUGCCUCUUGAAGGCUGAAGUUACAAAUGUGUGCUACCAUGGGUCAUAGACUUGACUUAUACUGUGAAACCCCAAACUUUGUCCUGAUGUCAUACUGAAAUGAAACCUUGGGCACCUUGGACAGAGUAUAACGUUGACUGCCCACAGAAGGAUAGGAGUUUUGUGUGUGUGUGUGUGUGUGUGUGUGUGUGUGUCCAGGAGGUAGAUUGUGGCAAAGUACAUCUUUCAAUAAUGUCACAGUAUUUCCCAUUUUUACUCAUUCUUAUCCAGUGUGACAGAUUAUCUUUCCCUUGGAUUGGGGGAAGCUUAUGACUCCUUUGACCCACAGUAUAAAAGUACCAGUAAUGUGAUGUGAACUGACAAAUCUGGAUCAUAAGAGGUAAAGAGUUUUUACCUUAUUUUCUGAAAUGCUUGUAUUUAAUACUGUUGACCAUUGUUUGAGAAACCCACUACCUAAUGCAGCCAAACUCUGAGAAACCCAAGUCAUAUGUGGAGACUUGGCUACAGGGACUUCUGUCAACAGUACCAGCUCCAGCCAGUUGAGUUGUCCUCAUUGAGGCUGUGAGCAUGGUAUGGGACAAGCCAAUUCCAUCAUGCCUAUUCCCCAUAUAAAGGAUUCAUGAAGUUGAUAGAAUAGUUGUUUCAUACAGGAGUCUUUGAGGUAGUAAUUGGAGCAAGUGUGUAACUUAUAAGCCUCUGAAGGUUCAUUUGCUCUGUUGGUAAUAGAAAAAGAGACUUGGUAAUGAGUAAAGUAUGAGCUUCAGUGAAAAAUUUUGUGACAUAAAAUUUUAGCUGCCUAGUGGCUGUCUUAUUUAAUUACCUGACCUUGAGGUAAUAAGUCCUGUGGAUCUGUCUGAGCUCUAGAUAACUGACAUAUUACUGUAUACUAGUUAGCACUAGUUUAUUUAUGACAUUUCAUUUGAUUUGUCUCAUGUUCUCUUAAUUUAAAAACCUCAAUAAAUGUGAUUGUUUCA